rnacentral:rRNA from 1 species
CCUACGGGAGGCAGCAGUGGGGAAUAUUGCACAAUGGGGGAAACCCUGAUGCAGCGACGCCGCGUGAGUGAAGAAGUAAUUCGUUAUGUAAAGCUCUAUCAGCAGGGAAGAAAAUGACGGUACCUGAGUAAGAAGCCCCGGCUAACUACGUUCCAGCAGCCGCGGUAAUACGUAGGGGGCAAGCGUUAUCCGGAUUUACUGGGUGUAAAGGGAGCGUAGACGGCAGGGCAAGUCUGGAGUGAAAGGCGGGGGCUCAACCCCAGGACUGCACUGGAAACUGUACGGCUGGAGUGCAGGAGAGGUAAGUGGAAUUCCUAGUGUAGCGGUGAAAUGCGUAGAUAUUAGGAGGAACACCAGUGGCGAAGGCAGCUUACUAGACUGUAACUGACGUUGAGGCUCGAAAGCGUGGGGAGCAAACAGGAUUAGAUACCCUUGUAGUC